UACAGAGGGUGCGAGCGUUAAUCGGAAUUACUGGGCGUAAAGCGCGCGUAGGCGGACCUGCAAGUCGGGGGUGAAAGCCCGAGGCUCAACCUCGGAACUGCCUUCGAUACUGCGGGUCUCGAGUCCGGGAGAGGUGAGUGGAAUUCCUAGUGUAGAGGUGAAAUUCGUAGAUAUUAGGAAGAACACCAGUGGCGAAGGCGGCUCACUGGCCCGGUACUGACGCUGAGGCGCGAAAGCGUGGGGAGCAAACAGG
rnacentral:rRNA from 1 species